UGAGGUGUCGGCCAAUGGCAGGCCGCCGGGCUCUGGACCCGGAAAUAUAGGUUCGAGUCCUCUCACCUCAGCCU
rnacentral:tRNA from 1 species